GGCUCGACGUGUGGCGGCCCGGAGACGACGACUACAUGGCUCCUCUGCAGUACGACAGACGGAAGCCGCGCCAGCGGAGGCCGGGCGCCGCGCCCCGGCUCCGGGGAGUGCUCAAGGCCCAGGACGCGGUGGCACACGCCCU